UUUAAAGUUCUCACGUGAUUCCAACUUGCGGUCAGGGCCGGAAACCUAUGCUUUAUGAUGUUUUAUCCUCCAGCGGGGCUUGAGUCGCUGGCCUUGGUGCUGAAUCUCUUCCCGCCACAGGCUGCUCUCAGGGUGUCCCCACUUCCCACUGGGCUCUGCCAAAGUCACAAGCAGCAGUUUCAAAAACGCUGAUGCAUGGAAGAAGCAAUGUCCUAGCUCACUCAGAGUGAUUAGGUGGAAAGAUCAGCAUUUCACUGCAGCUGCGUCCACCUCCCCAGACAGCCAAUUAGCUGCAGAAACAGCAGAUACUGCCUAACGGAGCUCUUCCAGGGCUGAGCUUUUAAUGCCCAAAAGAGCAUUAUGUAGCUAAACAACACUAUAUUCACAUCAAACAAAAGCAUCUUGCUUUAGGUUACAGUAUUCGGUUCCUGGAGAAAGACGGCUUUGCCUCGGACCUGGAACUCCGCAGCACCUGGAGAGGAAGGAGGAGCCUGCCUGACAUUCUGGGGAUGCAGCCAGCGGCAGAGGAAGGAGCAUUAGACCCACAGUCAGAAGAUGUGGGUUUGAAUUUCUACUUUUGCCUAGCAGCAUGACAUUGCAAUUAAUCCAGCAGGUGGUCAAUUCCUUCUCUAUAGAACAGACAUAAAGAUGAAUACCAUAAUCACGCUCUAAUUAUGUUGUCACUAUGUGACGUAAUGCUUGUAAGUAUAUCAACAAAAUCAGGGAUGCAGAGUUGACUGCUAGAAAAGAGAUUUGUGUGUUUGUGUCGAUGGUCUGAAACCAGGCCCCCCUUUAUGCCUCUUUAGUGCCCCAUCUCACUGAUGUGGGGGAGCAGUGAACACUGAAGCGGGGCUUGCAGCCACCCUCAGCUGUGACACGGGCAGUGAAGGGGAGGAAACAGGAGGUAGUCCUGGUGGUGCCAGGGGACAGGCGGGCGAGGCCCAGCAGUCAGUGGUUCAGCAAGUCCGGCGGGUGACUGGGAUGCACACCAGCAUCUGGAAAACGCUGCCCUGGAGAACUCCACUGCAUGGAGACCCACCUUCUGCUUAGCCAUUCUGUUAUAGCAGUGUAUUCCAGUUCCUCUACAUCCUCACCAACCUGGGGUUGACAACCUGAACUUGCAUUCUUCUGGUGACUAAUGAGGUUGAGUGUUUUUAUAUGUUCAGUCUCUGUGAGGAUAUUCUUUAUAUAGUACCCCUCAAGGUUUUGCACAUGUUUAUAGAAUUCUUUUUCCAAUUAAUUUUGCCAUUACUGAAUAAAUAUAUUAUAAAUAUA